rnacentral:rRNA from 1 species
UGGGGAAUUUUGGACAAUGGGGGAAACCCUGAUCCAGCAAUGCCGCGUGUGUGAAGAAGGCCUUCGGGUUGUAAAGCACUUUUGUCAGGAACGAAACGGUGGAGGCUAAUACCUUCUGCUAAUGACGGUACCUGAAGAAUAAGCACCGGCUAACUACGUGCCAGCAGCCGCGGUAAUACGUAGGGUGCAAGCGUUAAUCGGAAUUACUGGGCGUAAAGCGUGCGCAGGCGGUUGUGCAAGACAGAUGUGAAAUCCCCGGGCUUAACCUGGGAAUUGCAUUUGUGACUGCACGGCUAGAGUGUGUCAGAGGGGGGUAGAAUUCCACGUGUAGCAGUGAAAUGCGUAGAUAUGUGGAGGAAUACCGAUGGCGAAGGCAGCCCCCUGGGAUAACACUGACGCUCAUGCACGAAAGCGUGGGGAGCAAACAGG